rnacentral:rRNA from 1 species
GCUAAAUACUCCUGACUGACCGAUAGUGAACCAGUACCGUGAGGGAAAGGCGAAAAGAACCCCUGUGAGGGGAGUGAAAUAGAUCCUGAAACCGCAUGCAUACAAGCAGUGGGAGCACCUUCGUGGUGUGACUGCGUACCUUUUGUAUAAUGGGUCAGCGACUUAUAUUCAGUAGCAAGGUUAACCGUAUAGGGGAGCCGUAGAGAAAUCGAGUCUUAAUAGGGCGUUUAGUUGCUGGGUAUAGACCCGAAACCAGGCGAUCUAUCCAUGAGCAGGUUGAAGGUUGGGUAACACUAACUGGAGGACCGAACCCACUGUCGUUGAAAAGCCAGGGGAUGACUUGUGGAUAGGGGUGAAAGGCUAAUCAAGCCUGGUGAUAGCUGGUUCUCCCCGAAAGCUAUUUAGGUAGCGCCUCGGACGAAUACCAUAGGGGGUAGAGCACUGUUUCGGCUAGGGGGUCAUCCCGACUUACCAAACCGAUGCAAACUCCGAAUACCUAUGAGUACUAUCCGGGAGACAGACUGCGGGUGCUAACGUCCGUAGUCAAGAGGAAAACAAUCCAGACCGCCAGCUAAGGCCCCAAAAUCAUAGUUAAGUGGGAAACGAUGUGGGAAGGCAUAGACAGCUAGGAGGUUGGCUUAGAAGCAGCCACCCUUUAAAGAAAGCGUAAUAGCUCACUAGUCGAGUCGGCCUGCGCGGAAGAUGUAACGGGGCUAAAA